AGUCUUUUUAAGGAAGUUUUCGGAUGGAAUUGAAAAGACUGAGUGGCGGACGGGUGAGUAACGCGUGGGUAACCUGCCUCAUACAGGGGGAUAACAGUUGGAAACGACUGCUAAUACCGCAUAAGCGCACGGAACCGCAUGAUUCUGUGUGAAAAACUGAGGUGGUAUGAGAUGGACCCGCGUCUGAUUAGCUAGUUGGAGGGGUAACGGCCCACCAAGGCGACGAUCCAUAGCCGACCUGAGAGGGUGACCGGCCACAUUGGGACUGAGACACGGCCCAAACUCC
rnacentral:rRNA from 1 species